AUUGAACGCUGGCGGCAGGCCUAACACAUGCAAGUCGAACGGUAACAGGAAGCAGCUUGCUGCUUCGCUGACGAGUGGCGGACGGGUGAGUAAUGUCUGGGAAACUGCCUGAUGGAGGGGGAUAACUACUGGAAACGGUAGCUAAUACCGCAUAACGUCGCAAGACCAAAGAGGGGGACCUUAGGGCCUCUUGCCAUCGGAUGUGCCCAGAUGGGAUUAGCUAGUAGGUGGGGUAACGGCUCACCUAGGCGACGAUCCCUAGCUGGUCUGAGAGGAUGGCCAGCCACACGGGAGCGGAGACAGCGACCAGACUCCUGCGGGACGCAGCAGUGGGGUAUAUGGGGCAAUGGUGGCGAGCCUGAUACAACCAUGCCGCGUGUAUGAAGAAGGCCUUCGGUUUGUGAAGUCCUUUCGGCGGGGGGGAAGGGAGUACAGUUAAUACCUUGGCUCAUUGACGUUACCCGCAGAAGAAGCGCCGGCUAACUCCGUG
rnacentral:rRNA from 1 species